CAGUAGCCGCGGUAAUACGGAGGGGGCUAGCGUUGUUCGGAAUUACUGGGCGUAAAGCGCACGUAGGCGGCUCUGUAAGUUAGAGGUGAAAGCCUGGAGCUCAACUCCAGAACUGCCUUUGAGACUGCAUCGCUUGAAUCCAGGAGAGGUGAGUGGAAUUCCGAGUGUAGAGGUGAAAUUCGUAGAUAUUCGGAAGAACACCAGUGGCGAAGGCGGCUCACUGGACUGGUAUUGACGCUGAGGUGCGAAAGCGUGGGGAGCAAACAGGAUUAGAUACCCGCGUAGUCCCUGUCUCUUAUAC
rnacentral:rRNA from 1 species